rnacentral:rRNA from 1 species
UGGGGAAUCUUGCGCAAUGGACGAAAGUCUGACGCAGCCACGCCGCGUGAGUGAAGAAGGCCUUCGGGUUGUAAAGCUCUGUCGAGCGGGACGAACAGCCUAUGGGUUAACAGCCCAUGGGUUUGACGGUACCGCUAAAGGAAGCACCGGCUAACUCCGUGCCAGCAGCCGCGGUAAUACGGAGGGUGCAAGCGUUGCUCGGAAUUAUUGGGCGUAAAGGGUAGGUAGGUGGUCUCAUUUGUCUGAGGUGAAAGCCUUGAGCUUAACUCAAGAAGUGCCUCAGAAACGGUGAGACUCGAGUCCUGGAGAGGUGAGUGGAAUUCCCGGUGUAGCGGUGAAAUGCGUAGAGAUCGGGAGGAACACCAGAGGCGAAGGCGGCUCACUGGACAGGUACUGACACUCAACUACGAAAGCGUGGGGAGCAAACAGG